rnacentral:rRNA from 1 species
AGAAUCAACGCUGGCGGCGUGCCUAACACAUGCAAGUCGAACGAGAAAGUGGAGCAAUCCAUGAGUAAAGUGGCGCACGGGUGAGUAACACGUGACUAACCUACCCUUGAGUGGGGGAUAACCUCGGGAAACCGGGGCUAAUACCGCAUAAUAUCGAGAGAUCAAAGGAGCAAUUCGCUUAAGGAGGGGGUCGCGGCUGAUUAGCUAGUUGGUGAGGUAAUGGCUCACCAAGGCUAUGAUCAGUAUCCGGCCUGAGAGGGCGCACGGACACACUGGAACUGAAACACGGUCCAGACUCCUACGGGAGGCAGCAGUGGGGAAUUUUGCGCAAUGGGGGAAACCCUGACGCAGCAACGCCGCGUGGAGGAUGAAGUCCCUUGGGACGUAAACUCCUUUCGAUCGGGACGAUAAUGACGGUACCGGAAGAAGAAGCCCCGGCUAACUUCGUGCCAGCAGCCGC